AGUGAGCGCUGGCGGUAGGCCUAACACAUGCAAGUCGAACGGCAGCACAGUAAGAGCUUGCUCUUACGGGUGGCGAGUGGCGGACGGGUGAGGAAUACAUCGGAAUCUACUUUUUCGUGGGGGAUGACGUAGGGAAACUUACGCUAAUACCGCAUACGACCUACGGGUGAAAGCAGGGGAUCUUCGGACCUUGCGCGAUUGAAUGAGCCGAUGUCGGAUUAGCUAGUUGGCGGGGUAAAGGCCCACCAAGGCGACGAUCCGUAGCUGGUCUGAGAGGAUGAUCAGCCACACUGGAACUGAGACACGGUCCAGACUCCUACGGGAGGCAGCAGUGGGGAAUAUUGGACAAUGGGCGCAAGCCUGAUCCAGCCAUACCGCGUGGAUGAAGAAGGCCUUCGGGUUGUAAAGCCCUUUUGUUGGGAAAGAAAAGCAGCAGGUUAAUACCCCGCUGUUCUGACGGUACCCAAAGAAUAAGCACCGGCUAACUUCGUG
rnacentral:rRNA from 1 species